AAAUUGAAGAGUUUGAUCAUGGCUCAGAUUGAACGCUGGCGGCAGGCCUAACACAUGCAAGUCGAGCGGUAGCACAGGGAGCUUGCUCCUGGGUGACGAGCGGCGGACGGGUGAGUAAUGUCUGGGGAUCUGCCUGAUGGAGGGGGAUAACUACUGGAAACGGUAGCUAAUACCGCAUAACGUCGCAAGACCAAAGAGGGGGACCUUCGGGCCUCUUGCCAUCAGAUGAACCCAGAUGGGAUUAGCUAGUAGGUGGGGUAAUGGCUCACCUAGGCGACGAUCCCUAGCUGGUCUGAGAG
rnacentral:rRNA from 1 species